GCCGGCGUGGUGUAAAGGUUAUCAUACUCGGCGCGUAUUCGAGAGGUCCAGGUUCGAGUCCCGGUGAGGGCA
rnacentral:tRNA from 1 species